rnacentral:rRNA from 1 species
CCCUUAGAUGUUCUGGGCCGCACGCGCGCUACACUGACGAAGUCAGCGAGCAUGUCCUACGCCGACAGGUGCGGGGAAUCUUGUCAAACUUCGUCGUGAUGGGGAUUGAUUAUUGAAAUUCUUGAUCAUCAACGAGGAAUUCCUAGUAAGCGCAAGUCCGCAGCUUGCGUUGAUUACGUCCCUGCCCUUUGUACACACCGCCCGUCGCUACUACCGAUUGAAUGGUUUAGUGAGAUCUUCGGAUUGGCGCCACUGCGGCUCAGCAAUGGGCUCGGUGGAUGCCGAAAAGUUGAUCAAACUUGAUCAUUUAGAGGAAGUAAAAGUCGUAACA